UACGUAGGGGGCUAGCGUUGUUCGGAAUUACUGGGCGUAAAGCGCGCGUAGGCGGGCAUCUAAGUCAGGGGUGAAAUGCCAGGGCUCAACCUUGGAAUUGCCUUUGAUACUGGAUGUCUGGAGUUCGGGAGAGGUGAGUGGAAUUCCGAGUGUAGAGGUGAAAUUCGUAGAUAUUCGGAGGAACACCAGAAGCGAAGGCGGCUCACUGGCCCGAUACUGACGCUGAGGCGCGAAAGCGUGGGGAGCAAACAGG
rnacentral:rRNA from 1 species